UACCGUUAAUGAUGUUGAAAAUAUCAAUGGGAAUCUCUCUGAGACAAUGUGAAAGAGGUUUUAGAUCACUGAAACAGUC